UUAAAAAUAAGCUAAUUUAAGCUUUUGGGUUCAUACCUCAAACAUAAAGAUAAUAUCUUUUUUUUAAA
rnacentral:tRNA from 1 species